ensembl:lncRNA
CUCUGUGUGAAACCGUCAGUCUGUCUUUACCCGAUAACGAGAGGCUGGAGAUGCUAAUUAAAGCUGCUAUGCAGGUCUUUAAAAUGCACAUUAUUAAGGAAAUUAGAUUCAGCUUUGUCAUUGAGACCAUGAAUCCACUUUCUAGUCUAACUGUUUAUUUUUCCUGUUUGUACAUAGAGGACAGUGAAGAGGGCCAGAAGUAGUCUGUACACUGUUCCUGGUGUUGAUACAGAGACCCUCCAGACUCAAGUUGAAUCUUUGCAUGAAGAGUGGGACAGUCUGGCUAAAGACAUCAGAAGAGAGACUCAGAAUUCACUUCCGACUGUUGAGAGUGACCCUGUUGUUAACAUGACCGCUGCACGCAUUCAGGAGGACAUUAACAGGUAAUUCUCUGCUCUCGUCCACCAACCAAGACAUUACAGUGGACAUCUGAUUCAUUUUAUGACUGCAUGUGCCAUGUUAAUGGUCUUCAUGUACUCGUGUAGGUUACAGGCUGAGAGUAUGUCCUGGGAGUCACUACUGAACAAACAUCGGAGCAAAGCUGAGGAACUAGACAAGUGAGCACAGCUACAUAAACACACACCAGCAGCACGCAUGGAUACAGAGGGAUGCUCAGAUUCAUUCUCUUCUCUGUCCCGAUGCAGAUGUGUGGAGCGGGGUGAAGAGAAGGGGCUGCCACUGGACCCAUCAUGCUUUGCAAAGUCCUCACAGAGUCGGCUCAUUCUGAACAAACCUGACUACAAGGCGGUGCUCAUGGGACAGCAAAAACUACUCCGAAACAUGGAGCUAGUGAUGGACUCACAGUGUUGUAUAAUGAGGGAGCUGCUGUCUUUCCGGGAGAAAUCACAGCUGCUGCUGAAGGAGACCAGUGCCAGACUAGCUGCCAGGGCUGGAUUUCACAAUCUCCCUUCAUCUCCAGUCAGACAGCUGAUAAAAGAACCCAUAUCUAGUGUUUCCUCUUAGUUUACAGUGCUGUAAUGAAUCCCAUCGGAUGCUGAGCUUCCAUAGAAAAGUGCUAUGAUCUGAAAGGACCAUUUCGGUUAUGCAUUAUUACUUUUUACUCUAUCAUUUCUACUUUUUGCAGUAUCAAAAUACAUUUUCUGUUUUAUAUUAACCAAUGAUUUGGAUAGGAAGUAUCUAAAUUUAUACUAAACGUCUGUCUGUCCUAUUUUUCGUAAGAGGAAAGGUUCAGAAUGUGUACAUAAAGCGCAAAGAUGGACACUAGAUGGCAGACUAGUUAUUCACAGCUCUGCUUAACCUGUGCGGUCCUGCAUAGGGUUUGUUUUUCACAAUUGUACAGAUUUCAGAUUGUAAUUAAAUGCCUUGACAUUUGCUUCAAACUUUUUGUCAUGUAAAAAACAUUUGUUUUUAGCCCCUAAAUGCUUUUAAACGGUCUUUAAAUUGUCUUGUAUGUGUAAUGGACUAAGAAUGAUUUUCAUUCAUCCAUCACUGGAUUUUUUUUUUUUUUUUUUUUUUUUUUUUUUUUUUUUUUUUUUUGUAAUUCUUUUUUUUUUUUUUUAUUUUAUUGGUUUUCUUCAUAAUUUUUUUUUUUUUUUUUUUUUUUUCUUAUUUUAUUUCCAGGAUUAAGCACUAAGCAAGGUCUAACAAAUUAACAAAUGUGCCAAAAACAAAACAAAACAAGUAACUAAUAUUAUAAAUACAUGAAAGGAAUGCUGGGUUCUAUUUUAUUUUUUAUUUUGUUAUUAAAAUAAUUUUUUUCUAUCUAUCUAUCUAUCUAUCUAUCUAUCUAUCUAUCUAUCUAUCUAUCUAUCUAUCUAUCUAUCUAUCUAUCUAUCUAUCUAUCUAUCUAUCUUUCUAUCUAUCUAGAGGUGGUGUAGCAGGAGAGUGGGGUUAAGCGUUAGAAGCACUGGGGGUGGCACAGCAAGAGGGAUCGAUUCUUAUUUAGAUGAAAAUGAGGCUCAGCGCUUGUGGGCCGAGGGUGCAUCUGCCUCAAACAGAUUUAAGAAGAAUACCUAUUCAUAGUCAAGAGAGGAAAAACUAGUCUCACGGUGGUAAAUACUUUUAAAUUAAAUGUCAAUUGACAAAGAUUAAUGUAUGCAUGUGAUUUAGUAGAUGCCCACGUAGAUACUCUCCCAAAAAUAAAGGUUCUUCAUUGGCAUCUGUGGUUCCGUGA